UGAGUCGGUCGGGUGACCGCGGCACGACCUGAUCGUGUCGAGGAAAGUCGGGACUCCACAGGGCAGAGUGCUGGCGCGAGCCAGGUCGCGGCGACGUGACGGAUGUGCAACAGAGAGAGACCGCCGAUGGACCGGUUCGCCGGUCACAGGCAAGGGUGCAACGGUGCGGUAAGAGCGCACCAGCGUGCGAGGCGACUCGUACGGCUCGGUAACACCACUCGGAGCAAGGCCAAGCAGAGAGGAUGGGCUGCCCGUCCGUCGGUCCUCGGAUCGGCCCCUCUCGGGUAGGCCGCACUAGAUGGAUGGUCACACAGGCCGCUUCGGCGGCCGGACAGAAUCCCGCUUACAGACCGACUCACCAC
rnacentral:RNase_P_RNA from 1 species